UACGUAGGGUGCAAGCGUUGUCCGGAAUUAUUGGGCGUAAAGAGCUCAUAGGCGGUUUGUCGCGUCUGCUGUGAAAACGCGGGGCUCAACUCCGCGCCUGCAGUGGGUACGGGCAGACUAGAGUGCAGUAGGGGAGACUGGAAUUCCUGGUGUAGCGGUGGAAUGCGCAGAUAUCAGGAGGAACACCGGUGGCGAAGGCGGGGUCUCUGGGCUGUAACUGACGUGGAGGAGCGAAAAGCGUUGGGUAGCGAACAGG
rnacentral:rRNA from 1 species